rnacentral:rRNA from 1 species
UACAGAGGUCUCAAGCGUUGUUCGGAAUCACUGGGCGUAAAGCGCACGUAGGCGGAUUGCUAAGUCAGGGGUGAAAUCCUGGAGCUCAACUCCAGAACUGCCUUUGAUACUGGCGACCUUGAGUCCGGGAGAGGUGAGUGGAACUGCGAGUGUAGAGGUGAAAUUCGUAGAUAUUCGCAAGAACACCAGUGGCGAAGGCGGCUCACUGGCCCGGUACUGACGCUGAGGUGCGAAAGCGUGGGGAGCAAACAGG